CAAAUAUUAAGAAAUGGAGAAAGCAAGUUCUCUAAAAUUCAGUUGCUUAGUGGUUCUGUUGGUUUUGGUCGUGGCCACAGGAGGAGACAUGCCAUAGUCAAUAGUGCGUGGGGUGGAAGCACUAUUUUUGAACUGGAUCGAACGGGCUUGACCAAUGUGAUUCAAUUUUUGAAAUUAUGAGAGAGAGAGGCCCACGGGUGUCCACCAGUUGGUUUUGAUUCUGUCUCACAAAUAUGGUUCAAGGAAUUGGUAUCAGAUUGGGAGAUCAUCUAGAUCAGUAUCGAAUCUUGGGAAAUUCUAUAUUGGUGGAUCAGUACAUGGUACAGAUCAAGAGUAAAAAGGUCAAAAAAAAUUAAAUGAAAAUCACCGAUUAAAAAA